rnacentral:rRNA from 1 species
AGCGAACGCUGGCGGCAGGCUUAACACAUGCAAGUCGAGCGGGCGUAGCAAUACGUCAGCGGCAGACGGGUGAGUAACGCGUGGGAACGUACCUUUUGGUUCGGAACAACACAGGGAAACUUGUGCUAAUACCGGAUAAGCCCUUACGGGGAAAGAUUUAUCGCCGAAAGAUCGGCCCGCGUCUGAUUAGCUAGUUGGUGAGGUAACGGCUCACCAAGGCGACGAUCAGUAGCUGGUCUGAGAGGAUGAUCAGCCACAUUGGGACUGAGACACGGCCCAAACUCCUACGGGAGGCAGCAGGGGGGAAUAUUGGACAAUGGGGGCAACCCUGAUCCAGCCAUGCCGCGUGAGUGAUGAAGGCCCUAGGGUUGUAAAGCUCUUUUGUGCGGGAAGAUAAUGACGGUACCGCAAGAAUAAGCCCCGGCUAACUUCGUG